GAUGAACGCUGGCGGCGUGCCUAAUACAUGCAAGUAGAACGCUGAAGCUUGGUGCUUGCACCGAGCGGAUGAGUUGCGAACGGGUGAGUAACGCGUAGGUAACCUGCCUGGUAGCGGGGGAUAACUAUUGGAAACGAUAGCUAAUACCGCAUAACAGUCGACAUUGCAUGAUGUUGAUUUGAAAGGGGCAAAUGCUCCACUACCAGAUGGACCUGCGUUGUAUUAGCUAGUUGGUGAGGUAACGGCUCACCAAGGCGACGAUACAUAGCCGACCUGAGAGGGUGAUCGGCCACACUGGGACUGAGACACGGCCCAGACUCCUACGGGAGGCAGCAGUAGGGAAUCUUCGGCAAUGGACGGAAGUCUGACCGAGCAACGCCGCGUGAGUGAAGAAGGUUUUCGGAUCGUAAAGCUCUGUUGUAAGAGAAGAACGAGUGUGAGAGUGGAAAGUUCACACUGUGACGGAACUACCAGAAAGG
rnacentral:rRNA from 1 species